rnacentral:rRNA from 1 species
GAUGAACGCUGGCGGCGUGCCUAAUACAUGCAAGUCGAGCGAACAGAUGAGGAGCUUGCUCCUCUGACGUUAGCGGCGGACGGGUGAGUAACACGUGGAUAACCUACCUAUAAGACUGGGAUAACUUCGGGAAACCGGAGCUAAUACCGGAUAAUAUAUUGAACCGCAUGGUUCAAUAGUGAAAGACGGUUUUGCUGUCACUUAUAGAUGGAUCCGCGCCGCAUUAGCUAGUUGGUAAGGUAACGGCUUACCAAGGCAACGAUGCGUAGCCGACCUGAGAGGGUGGUCGGCCACACUGGAACUGAGACGCGGUCCCGACUCCUACGGGAAGGCGCAGUAGGGAAUCUUACGCAAUAGGCGAAAGCCUGACGGGGCAACGCCGCGUGAGUGAUGAAGGUCUUCGGAUCGUAAAACUCUGUUAUUAGGGAAGAACAAAUGUGUAAGUAACUAUGCACGUCUUGACGGUACCUAAUCAGAAAGCCACGGCUAACUACGUG